AUCCAUGCCAGGCCUCUCUUUUCCUCCCCAUGCUGGUUCCAGUCCAGUGAACCGUCAGAGUCGAGGAAUUUCUAUGAUGGACCACUCUACUUCCUUUUACAACAGGUGCCCCUACAGAUUCACAAAGUUCCAAUGUUGAAUUUCCAUGACCCUGAUUGAUCCGCGACAGGAGAAGGAAUGAAGUUGGCAGGACUUUCCGCACUGUCCUUGGUAGCAGCUGAUGAUGGAACAGACAGCAGUUUAC